GAGGGUGCAGCUGCUGUCCCUGGCCUCGGCGCCCUUGUCCCUCGGUGCUGUCAGAGUGCUGUGGGCGUCCUGGCCGUACGUGUCUGGGUGCUGGCUGCAGUCCUGGCAUGGAGGGAGGCUGAGGCAGAAGGGUUGCACAUUGAACCCCCGGGGACAGCUUAGCAAGACCCUGUCUCAAAAACUAAACAGGGCUGUGGGUGUAGCUCAGUGGUUAGAGCACCCCUGGGUUCAAGUCCCAGUCUCGCCCCCCCAAAACGGUGCCAAACCGGGCCUGUCACUCUGUGGACGGUCAGACCCCAGCAGCUCGCUGUGUCUCCGGGAGAGCCUCCUCCCGGCAGGUAGGUCCCGGGCAUCCGGGCCAGCUGGAGUCGGCUGACAGCCCAUUUGGAGCCCAAAGACAGAAGGACGAUGCUGGGCAGUUCAUGAGGCGCUGUGGGCCUCACCGCCCUGGCCCGUGCCUGUCUCCUGGGCCCAGGGAAACCUGGGGAAUUCCACCGCCCAGCUUUCAGCUUCUCCUCUCCGUUUGAAACAAGUCCCCGGACAGGUUAGCUGCGAGGAACCGGAACCAAAGCCCUGGCCAAGCCAGAAUGGUGCCGAAGGGUCCAGCGUCUGCUCCUUUCUGACAAGUCUGCCCCUGCUGCAGCCGCACGUGCUGCUCCUGUCACGGGUGCACGGUGCUUAGUGCACAUCCCAGCUGCGUGCCCCAGCUCGAGUGUCCUGCGGCCGGCGGCAGCUCUGGAGGGAUGUGCGCCUCACCCGCGUGACACCGCAGGACCCGGGUGAGGUUGGCGGCCAGGCCUCAGACUCCGUGUGUGGGACAUGUGCUGUCCGGGAGCCAGAAGCUGACCUUCCUGAAGGCUCCUGCUUAUCUGAUUUCAUCCCUGGAGCAGCCAUGUGACACAGCCGUGAUUUCCCUCUCGUCACUGAAGGAGCUGUAGUUAUUAAGUGACCUAGCCAAGGUCAUGCGCAGGGUAAGUGCAGUUGCUGAUAUUUAAAUCCAGGCAUUUCUGAGUUCAAAACCAGUGCUUCCCUCAGCGUUUGGAGUAAAGUCUGAAAUGUUUGUGAGCCGAGGCCCUCUGAGAACUGACAUGAGCCAGAGUGAAGGGCGGACACCCAGGGACCUGGUUUCCAGGUGCCCAGGGGUGGCCGAGGGAGUUCCCUUCUGGAGAGGCAGGGCUGUGAUGGGUACCCACUGGUG
rnacentral:lncRNA from 1 species